GGCCUUCUGCUGAUCUCUGGCAGACUUAACUGUCAUACAGAGAUAACAAGGGCACCUUUUUCCUUUCUUCUCAAACCAAAGUCUAACUUUUGGAAUCCUGAGUUGAAGCCUCUUGUAGAAUCUGAUGGCUUUUGUGAGUGGAUGUCCAUCUAUCAUGAUCUGAAAUGGCGGGUUUCUACUGAAGGUGCGGGAAAUGGCCAAGUGAUGAGAUAAGUCCGUGGAAAAGGACAUGGGAGCAGAUUGUGAGGGGAAGAUCAAGGAAGCAGGGGUGGGAAAACGUGCAUAAGGGACCGGACAUUCAGAGUCAAGGAAUCUUUGGUCAAACUUACUGCAAGUUGGAUGUGUGCCAGUUGAUAAACAGAUUACUUGGGUCUCUGAAGAGGAUCCAUCCUGGCACAACUGAUGGUGUUAUGGGGUUAAGGACAUCCCAGCUGUGUUCCAGUCCUGCUCUCAUGAUUAUCUCGAAACUACAGUAUUGAAACUAAAGAUAUUACAAGAUGAGAUAAAAAAGAAACAAAAACAACUGCAGCAGGAUCUUUUACCCACUUCUGAAUGGACUCAACAAUAUGCAUUUGGGAUUAUGUUCUCUAAGUCAAAUUUCUUGAAUGUAUUACUGCUAAGUACACUACCAUACAUAUGUGUGUGUGUUUGUGACAGUGUGUUAGCAUUUGCAGAACUUCCUAAACUAAGUUAUUAGAUUACACAGUAACACCCGCAUUCCAUCUUUGAAAGGUGCACAAUACCUACCUUAGUGUUACUCUAUGCAAAUUCCCUAACUAAGAAAACACUGUAUGCACCUUUCCUCCUUAUUCAGAUACCUCAGAAUUUGAGAUUUAUGACCAUCUUUUAGGCACUGAUCUUGCUGUUUUAUCUAAAACCGAACUAAUUUAUACAGUUAAGUAUGUGAAAUUGGCAGCCUAUCUAUCUAUCUAUCUAUCUAUCUAUCUAUCUAUCUAUCUAUCUAUCUAUCUAUCUAUCUAUCUAUCUAUCUACCUAUCCAUCUAUCAACCAUCAAGCAUCUGUGUAUCAACUCUCUAUCCAUCUAUCUAUCCAUCUAUCUGUCUAUCUAUCUAUCUAUGUUUAGGCUAUCAAUGCUGAUAUAGACCCAUUUCCACAGGGGACAAGGGGGAGAGGUGGAGAGAGCCCCCCUGACAUAAAUCUAUAUGAUAAUUAAAUAUAAAGAAUUAUGCAUUUGACAUAAAAGAUCUACAUCCAUUAUUGAUGGACAACAGAGCCUUUGCAGAACAAAAUAAAUCACAAUAACUGGAUACUAGCCUUCAGACUAUUCUAAUUUUAACAAACUAAGUAAAUAAAUAAUAAAACAUUAUUUUAGUUUUUUCAAACAGGCAGUCAUAAUAGCACAACACAAUCAACGUCUUGUUUGUGGUUCCUGAUGUGACUUAUAAAAUAAAAUGUACCCUUUCCUACUAA